UACAGAGGUCCCAAGCGUUGUUCGGAUUCACUGGGCGUAAAGGGUGCGUAGGCGGUCGGGUAAGUCUGAUGUGAAAUCUCCAAGCUCAACUUGGAAAUGGCAUUGGAUACUAUCGGCUAGAGGGUUGAGGGGGACUGGGAAUGACUUGGUGGUAAGCAGUGAAAUGCGUAGAUAUCAAGGUGGAACACCAGUGGCGAAAGGCGGAAGUCCCCUGG
rnacentral:rRNA from 1 species